GACGAACGCUGGCGGCGUGCCUAACACAUGCAAGUCGAGCGGGGACUUAUGGAAUGAAGCUUCGGCAGAAUGAAGUAAGUUCUAGCGGCGGACGGGUGAGUAACGCGUGAGCAACCUGCCUAUCACAGGGGAAUAACGCAUCGAAAGGUGUGCUAAUACCGCAUAAGACCACAGGAACGCAUGAUCCGGUGGUAAAAACUCCGGUGGUAUGAGAUGGACCCGCGUCUGAUUAGCUAGUUGGUGGGGUAACGGCUCACCAAGGCGACGAUCAGUAGCCGACCUGAGAGGGUGACCGGCCACAUUGGGACUGAGACACGGCCCAA
rnacentral:rRNA from 1 species